AGAGUUUGAUCCUGGCUCAGGAUGAACGCUAGCGACAGGCUUAACACAUGCAAGUCGAGGGGCAGCGGGGGAUAAGCUUGCUUUUCCUGCCGGCGACCGGCGCACGGGUGAGUAACACGUAUGCAACCUGCCUCUGUCAGAGGGAUAAUCCGGAGAAAUCCGGUCUAAUAUCGCAUAAAGCGUUUGCGGGGCAUCCUGCGAGCGCCAAAGGAGUAAUCCGGACAGGGAUGGGCAUGCGGCGCAUUAGCUAGUUGGGGGGGUAACGGCCCACCAAGGCGACGAUGCGUAGGGGUUCUGAGAGGAAGGUCCCCCACAUUGGUACUGAGACACGGACCAAACUCCUACGGGAGGCAGCAGUGAGGAAUAUUGGUCAAUGGGCGGAAGCCUGAACCAGCCAAGUCGCGUGAGGGAAGACGGCCCUAAGGGUUGUAAACCUCUUUUGCCGGGGAGCAAAAGCGCCGUGCGCGGUGCUAUGAGAGUACCCGGAGAAAAAGCAUCGGCUAACUCCGUGCCAGCAGCCGCGGUAAUACGGAGGAUGCGAGCGUUAUCCGGAUUUAUUGGGUUUAAAGGGUGCGUAGGCGGACAGUUAAGUCAGCGGUCAAAACGGGCGGCUCAACCGCCUGCCGCCGUUGAAACUGGCAGUCUAGAGUGGGCGAGAAGUACGCGGAAUGCGCGGUGUAGCGGUGAAAUGCAUAGAUAUUGCGCAGAACUCCGAUUGCGAAGGCAGCGUACCGGCGCCCGACUGACGCUGAGGCACGAAAGCGUGGGGAUCGAACAGGAUUAGAUACCCUGGUAGUCCACGCAGUAAACGAUGGACACUAUCUGUUCGGGUCGAGAGAGAUCUGAGUGGCACAGCGAAAGCGUUAAGUGUCCCACCUGGGGAGUACGCCGGCAACGGUGAAACUCAAAGGAAUUGACGGGGGCCCG
rnacentral:rRNA from 1 species